UACGGAGGAUGCAAGGGUUAUCCGGAAUGAUGGGGCGUAAAGCGUCGGCAGGGGGAAAUGUAAGUCUGCUGUCAAAGCGUCUGGCUCAACCAGAUAAAGGCAGUGGAAACUACAUAGCUAGAGUAAGGUAGGGGUAGAGGGAAUUCCUGGUGUAGCGGUGAAAUGCGUAGAGAUCAGGAAGAACACCGGUGGCGAAAGCGCUCUGCUGGACCUUAACUGACACUGAGGGACGAAAGCUAGGGGAGCGAACAGG
rnacentral:rRNA from 1 species